AUCGGGCGGCGAGCUGGCAGAAACGUUAGCACGCCGGGCGAAAUGCUCAGCGACAUUUCGUCUGUCGUUACGUUCUGAGUUCAAAAUCCGCCGAGGUCAACUUUCGGGGUCGAUUAAAUAAGUACCAGUUACGCACUGGGGUCGAUAUAAUCGACUUAAUCCGUCUGUCUGUCCUUGUUUGUCCCCUCUGUGUGUAGCCCCUUGUGGGCAGUAAAGAAAUAAGAAUCGUUACCGCACCGGAGAAAAAAAAAUUGCUUAGCCGCAUUUCUUCCGACUUUACCUUCUGAGUCCAAAUGCCGCCAGUGCCGACUUUGCCUUUCGUACUUUUGGAGUUGAUAAAAGUAUCAAAAGUUUCGUGGCACAACUACAGUAUGGUUACUCACAUAAGUUUCACUGCAACAAUUCCAGAAGCAGUUAUGCGAUGAAAAGUUUUGAUCUUUAAAAUUCAUUUAGAGUGAAUCGGAAGAGCUGUGCGAGUUAUUAGAUUGCUAAAAUAGCUAUUCUUCAUUAGUCUCAAAGUUGAGUUGAAAUCGUUUCAAACUCUUGCACUAAAGAGCCCAAGAAUGUGGAUUCACUUUAACUGGGAAAUAAUGCUACUUUCUCGUAACGGCUGAUUAUAUUUUACAAGAAAAUAUCGACUUCCCAGUGACACCGAAAGUACGUGAACAUUUUCAACCAACCCUACCGCCACUGGUUGUACAAUGUGCAAUAUUACUCUUCAGGAUUUGGAUGUUACACACAACUUUGACCAGAGAUAGCUGUCAAAUGAUCCCUUUUGAUUGACACACACCCGAGAGUGAUAUUUCUAAAGUCGGCUGACCAAGUUCUUUCACAGGAAAUUUGGUGAACGAAAACUAUGUGGAAGUAUGAGAAACUUCCAUUUAGUUUCCGUUUAUCAAUCAUUAAUCAUUAAUAUACUAGACACUAAAGCAGAGAAAACUUACCCAAAGUGUUGUACGUUAUGAUUGAACUCGAAACCAUACCAGUGUAAAGCGAAUUUCUUAACUACACAUCCAAUUCUAAUUUUUAACUCUUCAUGCUGAAGCGCUACCCUGAAGGAAUUUUUGUCAAUUACAUCGGAAUCAACAGAAUUUCAAUCGGGUACUUGCUUUAUUAAUUGUACACGUCAAACCACUAAAUCACUGGAUAUUAAGGAAAAGGAAUGCAAGAUAAACACCAAUUUUAUAUAUUUAUAAUCAAGGCUACAAGUACUAGCGUUGCUAGAAAUAAAUGUCGAAAAAUACUCAUAUAAGCCACAAUAUCACUGUAAAUUCAACAAGUAGACGGACAUCGAGUAUUUUUCGACUCUUAUUUCUAGCAACGCUGGUAUUUCUACUCUUGAUUAUAAAUUUAUAAAUUUUACUUUUUGGUUUUUAUGCUUGCUAGCCACUUAUAUUAUUAUUAUUUAUUAAUAAUAAUAUAUUUAUUUACGUGUAAUUAUAUACUUCUAUCGUUUGAAUUUCACGCUAGUCUUUCAACGAUUUUAACAAGCAUGACGAAGCGGGUAUUAGUUUAACUCCAGGAGGUGAGACCCAUUGGUGAGAAUUAAGAGUAAUAAUCUCAGACUUUAAAAUCACGGGAUAUGGUUAUGUCUGCUAUUCAUUUGCGUCAUUCCCCCGCAAUAGUAGGUUGGCUUUUACUCGCUCCUCGAUUUUCGUCAACUUGUUAAAUUUACAGUGAUAUUGUGGCUUAUUUGAGUAUUUUUCGACUUUUAUUUCAAGAUAUGCUGGUAAUUGUACCUUUGAUUAUAAAUUUGUAAAUUUA